rnacentral:rRNA from 1 species
CGAACCCCGGCGCGGCAAGCGCCAAGGAAAACUUAAAGGAAUCGUCGUCCCCCUUGCGCCCGUUCGCGGUGCGCCUCGGGUGCGCGACGUCCCUCAAAUGUCUAAACGACUCUCGGCAACGGAUAUCUCGGCUCUCGCAUCGAUGAAGAACGUAGCGAAAUGCGAUACUUGGUGUGAAUUGCAGAAUCCCGUGAACCAUCGAGUCUUUGAACGCAAGUUGCGCCCGAAGCCUUCUGGCCGAGGGCACGCCUGCCUGGGCGUCACGCAUCGCGUCGCCCCCUCC